UGGGGAAUUUUGUGCAAUGGGGGAAACCCUGACACAGCGACACCGCGUGAACGAAGAAGCCCUUUGGGGUGUAAAGUUCUGUCGGCUGGAACGAAAAAAAUGACGGUACCAGCAAAGGAAGCAUCGGCUAACUACGUGCCAGCAGCCGCGGUAAGACGUAGGAUGCAAGCGUUGUCCGGAUUUAUUGGGCGUAAAGAGUUCGUAGGCGGUUCGUUAAGUCUGAUGUUAAAGACUGGGGCUCAACCCCGGGAGUGCAUUGGAUACUGGCGGACUGGAGUGUGGUAGAGGCUAGUGGAAUUCCCAGUGUAGCGGUGAAAUGCGUAGAUAUUGGGAAGAACACCAGUGGCGUAGGCGACUAGCUGGGCCAUAACUGACGCUGAGGAACGAAAGCCAGGGGAGCGAAUGG
rnacentral:rRNA from 1 species